rnacentral:lncRNA from 1 species
UUAAAUUACUGAUAACAAAAAAUUUAUUGUGGGAUUAAUAGUUGGGAAAAUUUUAUGUUUACCACUUUCAUGGUACCACUUUUCAUCUUUACCACCAUUAAAGGGACACUUUCAAAAAUAUUUUCUUCAUUAAGUGGCAAAAGACUCUUAUACCCUUGUUCUCUAUAUAUAUAAUAAAUCAUUAUUUAAAUAAAUAAAAAUAAUUUUUAAUGCUUUUAUAUUAUAUUUUUUUCAAAUUCGAUCCUUUUAUAAUUUUUUUUAAUUUUUUUUUCGAAUUUUGUAUUUUAUUUUUUUUUCAAAAUUUAUUUUUUAAAAUCGAAAAUUAUGUUUGAAAUUUUUUUUAUAUUUUUAAGUAUUUAUUUAUAUAUUUAUUAGAAUCCUAAAUUUCACAUUCCAAAAUCGCUUCUCCAACCCUAAGUCUAGAUUAGUUAACUCUAUGGAUAUA